rnacentral:rRNA from 1 species
UACGAGGGGGGCAAGCGUUGUUCGGAAUUAUUGGGCGUAAAGGGUGCGUAGGCGGUCUGACAAGUCUGAUGUGAAAUCUAUGGGCUCAACCCAUAGUCUGCAUCGGAAACUGUCGGGCUUGAGUUCGGGAGAGGUGAGUGGAACUGCGAGUGUAGAGGUGAAAUUCGUAGAUAUUCGCAAGAACACCAGUGGCGAAGGCGGCUCACUGGCCCGAUACUGACGCUGAUGCACGAAAGCGUGGGGAGCAAACAGG